UUUGCGCGGGGUGAGACUGACGGAUAAUGAGGGGAGAAAAAAAAUAAUAAUAAUAAUCAAGAGGGAUUUAUUCGAAUGAUUUUACAUAUAUUUACAUAACUGUCAAAAUCUUUCUGGGUUUCCUGUUUGCUGCUGCUACGAGGCCAAAGUAAAGAGUCCUCGCUGAUUGCAGAGGAAAUCCUACAUGAUUGUGCUCAGACGAAGAAGCCGCCUGUUGGAUACUGCCGGAGGGCAAAGGCACUGCCGGGCUUCUGGCAGACGCCUGUCACCGCGCUGUUCGGAGCGCCGCCGAUUGAUUAUGAUGUUGGUGUUGGUUUGAGUUUGUCUCCCGGCGUCACCGACUCCGCGAAGCUGUCAGCGCCGGCGAGGAGCUCCAGCCUUCAGCGCCAGCAGAGCGAGUUCCCAGCAGGAAGAGGACGGGGAAGGCAGGAAAUAAUAGAGACAAUUGUUUUUUCAUGAGCCGAGACGGAGAGAAGACACAAUCAAACGGGACGGAGACGAAUUGGGUAACGAAGGACGGAGACUGGGAGAUGUUGCUCAGUUAUGUAAACGUUUUAUUAUUAUUAUUUAACAGCUUGUUAGUAAAAACCGAGGCGUCUUGUGAAGCUGGUUUGUCUACAGUCGAACCAGGUAAAAACCUUGUCAAGGUUCAUUUUGCUUAAUUAAGAAAUGCAAAUAUGUUGAUGCCAGUGGAAGUUUUUUGACAUGAGCAAGACAAUGUGCCACGCAGGGCCCAGUCCUACCAGAGGGCAGCAUAUAAAAAAAACAAACUAAAUCAUAACUCAAAAGUUAUUUUGUGUUUAUUAUUUGCUGCUCCACUCAGUUAGGAGUGGGGGUGUUCCUGUGUUGCGCCAGAUGUGAUAAAAAUAUUGAUUUUGAACUUCAGCUGGAUAAAUGGCGUUGAAGUUGGUGUCUGAUUUGAAGCACCCAACACAGCGCUAAGCUAAACUGCUAUGUCACUGGCUAUGUUUCCAUUACUGAUGUGCACAAAACGUUGUGGAUAUUCUGCUAAUGUAAAAAAAAACAAAAAAACAAUCUCCCUAUAGCAGUGUUUCCGAUAAAUAACAAAAUGCAAUUAAAA